rnacentral:rRNA from 1 species
GCGCAGCAGGCGAGAAACCUCCGCAAUACACGAAAGUGUGACGGGGCCAUCCCGAGUGCCGUCCGCUGAGGACGGCUUUUCCCCAGUGUACACAGCUGGGGGAAUAAGGAGAGGGCAAGCCUGGUGUCAGCCGCCGCGGUAAUACCAGCUCUCCGAGUGGUGGGGACGCUUAUUGGGCCUAAAGCAUCCGUAGCCGGCUGGGCAAGUCCUCCGUUAAAUCCAACGAUUCAAUCGUUGGGCUGCGGGGGAUACUGUCCAGCUUGGGGGCGGGAGAGGCCGACGGUAUUCCCCGGGGUAGGGGUGAAAUCCUAUAAUCCCGGGAGGACCACCAGUGGCGAAGGCUGUCGGCUAGAACGCGCCCGACGGUGAGGGAUGAAAGCUGGGGGAGCGAACCGGAUUAGAUA